AGCAGUUGUUUUUGCAUCCACUUAAAGCAAGAGAAUUUUGAAGAGAGGAGAGAGAAGUGUUCUAGGGUCUGGGCCACAGCAGGAGAAAGAAAUUGUGGCAAAUGGAGUGAUGGUAGAAGAUCUGUUCCCUGCCUGGUUCCUUGAACUAGGUUCAAACCUAGGUACAGCAAGAAUGGAUUGAAGAAUACAGCUAACUGGAGUUUGCCAAGAAGGCAUAGGAGACUAUUCUUUCAAUGAGCUUGACUGUGAAUAUGAAAAUUCCUUUCCUGCACACAGGUGAGGCUAUGCCCAGGCUGACUGGGGACUGGAGUAGAUGGAGGGGUCUCUUAUCCAAAGCUGUGGCAGAUGUUGAAAGCAGGGUAGCACCCCCAUUCUACCUCCAAGUGUGACAACCAGAAAUUUUUCCAGCCAAUGCCAAAUGUUUUCUGGGGCACAAAAAUCACCACCGGUUGAGAACCACUGGUUAUAUGAUUAGACGGAAAGAAAAAGAGAAAAAGAAAGAUGCCUGGCUAGGCCAAUUAGAGAUCUUAGAUAAUUACUAUAUGCAUGCAACAUUAGAUAGUUUUAUUUUCAUUAAACUUUUAAAUCUUUUAAAAUCUCUUACAGACCCUACUUUGAAGCUAGCUUGAUAUAAUGCUAAUGUGACCUUGAACGAUUUCUUUCUUCCUGAGUUUGCCUACUAGUAUAGCUUAAAGAUCCAAGUUACACUAUUACUCACUUAUAUCAUAGCCAGCAUUGCUUGAUCAGAUUAUCAGAUAGAUACAGUAUCACGGAGACAAAAUCCUUUCAUUAUGAUGUAAGAUAAAAAAUAUCUUUCAUUAACAACACACGUAAAGGAAGUACCCACUGGACCAACUCAGGUUAGAAGGGUACCAGACCAGAAGAUCAGAUCGUAGAAGUUACUGGAGAAAAAGAUCAGCGGACAGCACUCUUGAACUACAUGCCAGGCCUCUUCUUCCUGGAACUCUAAUGGAUUUAAAUGGCUUAAGAGACGGGAUGAAUUGUUGAAAAUGGUUCUUUCAAAAGACCUCACGGAAGGCCAAAGACAAGACUCACUGAGGCCAAGGUGAUCAACAAUAUCUAUAAGUUGACGCAUUCUAAUCAUGUGGCGAUCUUGACCUUGGGAGCUUGAUUUGUGGACCAGUGUCCCCAAGAAGAUGACCAUCAGACAGAUGACAAUCCUCUCCAUGUUGCCAGGACUGGAUCUCAUAAGUACCAACAGUAGAGCUAGACCUUGGUCUCGUUUUCACUUCAGCUUGACUGAGAACAGGUAUACGUGUGCAUGUGCUAAUGUGUGGGGGCAGGGAUUGAUGGAGUCAACGAAAUGUGCCCCAUCUGCAUCUUUGACAGGAAAAAGAGAGAAUGGGUGAAUUCCAAUUUUCAGCAUGAAUCAAGAAGGUCACCGAUGAAGUUUUUGAAUGCUGUGCUCCUAAUCUCAUUUUCCUGCUCCAGAGACUUCGGUGAAGGAUGAUGCAAACUGUGUUUCUUCAGCAUGUGAGCACCAUCAGCCAUGAGUGUGGCAGCUCCAGAAUGUCUAUACCAGAGUGGCUGAGAGUCAGCAACUUGGCUGGAAGCUACACUUGAAUAGCAAACAAACCACUUUUACUUAGUUUCCAUGUCUAUUUGGUACCUUGGAGUACAGUGAUGAGUUUUACUAGAUGUGGACUUUCCAGGAAUAUAGCCAAGGUCGUCACCAUGAAAGUAUGAAACUUUAGUCAUUUACCCAAGGGGAUUCAUGGACAUAUAUUAAGAAUUUUCUUUAAUGGACUGUGUUUAUAGAACACCUGGUCAGGACGGAAAUGAGGCCAGGGAACUAAAGGGGUAGAAGUCUGAAGAGGAAUGGUUUUGCAUGGGAAAACUGUGCCAGGUCUAAAACUGGGCUGAACACUAUUUGUCCCCAACUCUCUGGCCCGGUCCUCAUAGUUCUUUCUGUGAUCCCUGCGUGGUGAAUACUCCUUUUCUGCUUUCACUGGCUUUGGCCCCUCAUGGAUAGAAUUAGAUGUUCUGCAUGGCAAACUGUGGGAAGAGAGGCCUCCAGUGUUUAGAGUGAUAUUAUCAUGUGUACCACUACUAUUAUACAUACUAAAGGUAUUCAGACAGGUGGCUUGUCUCUGGGCUUUAUAUAGAUCUCUGUCAAGCUAGAAGAAAAAUGUCACUAAAAUAAUUCAAGACAAUUUUUGUACUUUCCAACGAUGUUCAGGUAACAGCUGAAAAUAUUCUCACUUAUUUGACUUGAGGAAGAAAAUUCGAACGAGGAAAAUCAUCAAGGAUUUGCUAAAGUCCCUUCUGUAAAAUCUUCCUUAAGGAAGUUUAAACACUCCUAUUCUCUCUUCUCUCAUUCUUUUGAACUCACUGCAUGUAUUGAUAUCACUGACUUGGUUUGUUUUCUAGAAUAUAUGUAAAAGUAAGAGUGUGUAUAUAUAACCCAUUAUGUACAUAACAAGAACAGUUCCUUCCAAUAUUCAAAUUUCAUGACUCUAGAUCACUACUGUGCAUUCUAAGAAGGUCAGGGACUCAUGGAGACCAAAGGGUCAAUCCUGGUCAUUGUUGUCUUACGAGAGAAAAACAAGAGCCUUCUCGGGCCCCGUGUUCUCUAGCUCUUGAUGUGGCCUCUUCGGUAUCACUGGCAGCCCCACAGUCUGGUGGUCAGUGUGUCGCAGCAGAGGGUCAUUCACCGAUGCUGCUUAUCCACAGCACCUUUUCUGUGGGGAAUGGGGGCCUCUAUUCUGCUAGUAGACUCAGGUGUGUCACUCUGUGAUACUCUUAAGACUGGGUUCAUUGAGGACAGGUCUCUUUGCUAACAUUCACACAAAGUCAUUGUUUGGAAGCACAGUCCUGCUUCUGAAAUGCUAGGUCUGGAGGAGUUCCAGCAGCAGCCACAUGGGCCCUCUCCUCAGAUCUUGGCUCCAACAUGGGAUACUCAGCAGUGAGGCUAGAGAUCAGAUGUCCUUCAUUCCUUGACCACUAAGCCUAGAGGAUGGAGAGAAAGAAGUGGAACAUCUGCACUCUUCAACCUGAGUCCACUCCAACUCCAUCCCACAAGGGAACUGCCUCCAUUGCUGAUGUUGGAUUAAACAGAACAGCCUGUGCAGUUAGUUCAUGGAUUCCAUAAAGGGACUGGACCUUAAUGAAGACGUUCCUGACAUGGGUUUGGGGAAGAAGAUAUUAUAAUUUUGCAAAUGAAGAAACUGAGAUACAGAAAUGACAUCCAGCACCCUCAGUGUCACACAGAGAGUAAAUGGACUGGCCUGAACCAGGCUGCCUCCUGGAACUGGUUUCUUUGGUUGGUUGAAUCCAUGGAUGGAGAACUCGUGGAUACAAGGGCUGACUAUAAUGAGAAGAUAUGAAAGCUGAAAAGACAAACAUUACUACAUAUUUACAUAUGUCCAAAGAAGAAGGUUCAUCUCCACGUGGACCUCCCUAUAGAGCUUCUUGAAUGGCCUCACAACAUGGCGGCUGGCUUCCCACAGAGUGAGCAAUCCAAGAGUUCCUUGAUUCAGAGAAAGAAGAUAAAAACACAUACAAAGAGACGGCACCAGCUCCUUUCCCAGUUGUGACCAGAUUGCACGAUACCCAAGCCAUGGCUCCAAAGAGUGCGUGUACUGAAGCCUGGCCAUUCAUGACAGACUCAUUUCCACACCUGAGUCCGGUUUUGCUCUGUGAGUGUUGGGCUUUCUCCAAGGGAAUGGUUGGAGCUGUUGCGAGCGAACUUCCUGGCUGCCACAGAGUUGAUUGGAUUCCUUGGAAAUGCACACUCACAGGCUGCUGCUCUUUGAAGCUGUCUCCUUCACUGGCCAUGAUUCUCCUGUCUCAUUAGCUGUUGCCUAUGACCCUGGUGUCGUUUUCUCCUUUUACUCAUCAACACCCAAAUCCACAGGGUUGUGAUGGAUUAGCAGCCUUUCUUAUUAGCAAGAAGCCCUGUGGCCUCAAGAGGCAAAAUGAAUCGUGGUUAGAAAUCUCCAUCUCCUCCCUCCCUUGGUAUAAUGCCAUCAUUUAACUAUCUGAAAAUAGAGAAGACUCCGUUCCAAUUGUAAAGCCCUAAGGAGAAAAACUGAGUUUGAAACUUUCCUUAAUUAUGCUGAUAUUUAACAAUAAACUUUGUAGUAU
rnacentral:lncRNA from 10 species